CCGGGAGCAACUAGGGGAUUAAGGACCUUGCCCAAGGGCCCUUAGUGAUUUUCCAGUCAGGCUGGGAUUUGAACCAAGGAUCCUCUGGUCUCAAGCCCAACACUUAACCACUAGACCAAUCACCUCCCCUUGUUGUUGGCAACAAAAACAACA